GUGAUCUAUAAGCUCACCAUAUAGCUAGAUUCUUAUAAUUUAUUGAUUUGCUGUAAUAUAAUUCCAUUUUACUGUUCCAAACGAUCUUAAACAAACUGAUUAUCGCACUGAUGUUUUUUUUUUUUUCCUAUCCUUCUUUUCCUCCCAGGCAUUGCAUUUGGUGAAUAUGUUGUUGUUCAGAAAAUACAGAGAUGCCUGUGCUGUUCUUGAUCGAAAACUCAAAUUGCUAAGGCGAUUGACUGACCUUUUCAAGCCCUAUGUGCUCUUCGAGGGCAUAUUUGAUGACAAGAAUUCAGAGAAGUUGCAAAUAGCAUCAAGAAAGACCUGUCCUGAAACAAAUGUCUUCAACUUUGAUCUUAAGAGCAUCGACUGGGAGGAUUAUAUGAUGAAUGCUCACAUCCCCGGUCUCGUUAUGUAUGUGAUGAAAUAAUUAUAAGAAUGAUUAUAUAUCGUGCUUUGGAAAAUCCUUACCUAUUUCUGAUGAUGCCAUGCUUCAAUCAUUUGAUGUAAUGAUGAAUAUUUAUGCUUCUAAUUAGGUUGUAUGGAAAAAAAAAGAGGAGCGAAAUGCAAUGUGGUUUCAA